ACAGGAAACUGUUUCAUUCUCUGAAUGUAAUGGUUGUUUGUGGGCCAUCCCUCCAGAUCCUUUCCCUGAAUGCCAAGUUUACUGGAAGUUCACAUGAUGCAUAUGUCAUUAGACAAUCAGGGAUAUGGCAGAGAUUAAGAGCAAGUCAACGAGCAGACAUGUGGUUAUUGGGAGACCGUGGAUAUCCUUGCACCCCCUGGCUCAUGACUCCUUACCGUAAUCCCAGGCCAGGACCACAGAUGGCAUUUAACUCCGCGCUUACUGCCACUAGGCAGCUGGUGGAGCGCACAAUUGGUGUCCUUAAAGGGCGGUUUCGUGUGCUCCACCGCACUGGUGGCGACAUCAUGUAUUCGCCGGAGAUGGCAAGUAAAAUAGUGGUCCUGUGCGCAAUACUACAUAAUAUCGCGGUAAGGAGUAGUGUAGAGCUUCCUCAGGCAGAGGAAUUGCCUGAUGAGGAGCCAGGGGUUGUUCGACACUUCGGUGGUGGGAGUGUUACACGGAGGGGGAGCCAAGUGAGGGCAAGGAUUGUUGCCGAAUAUUUCAGCUGAAUGAUCACACAAACUGUGGACAACAACAACGGCAGACCUCUCCGCCCCCUUCCCCUUCCCAGUCCCCCUCCCCUUCUCACUCCCCCUCCCCUUCUCACUCCCCCUCCCCUUCCCAGUCCCCCUCAUCUUCCCAGUCCCCCUCAUCUUCCCAGUCCCCCUCAUCUUCCCAGUCCCCCUCAGCUUCCCUGGCCCACACCACUUUACACUCCCCUUCUCACCACACCUCUCCAUCUCUUUCUGGGACCCCUUCUCCUCCUUCCCAUACCCCUUCUCCUUCAACUUCUAAAUCACCAUCUCUUCCCCCCUCACCCUCUAUUGGCUUAACUUUCUCUCCGCCCCCCUCGCCCUCUCAAUCAGACCCCCCCUCUGAAAUUCCAGCACCAAUCCAGCCUCCUUCCCCCAUCCAGCCUCCUUCCCCAAUCCCUCCUCCUUCCCCAAUCCCUCCUCCUUCCCCAAUCCCUCCUCCUUCCCCCAUCCAGCCGCCUUCCCCCAUCCAGCCGCCUUCACCCAUCCAGCCAACAUCCCCACCCAGUGAAUGGGCAGAGGAAGCCCCUGAAGCCAGUUCAGGGAGUGUUCAUGU